AGGUGGGCGGCAACAGCUGCCUGAUACAAUUGUGUUGAAAGGUGUUCCAUCUCGCUGGUUUGCUGAGCCAAGAGUUUCAUCUAAGCCUUCAAUGCUGGUCACUCACACGAUUUUUUCUGCAUUUGGGAAGAUAAGCUAGCAGAAGCACCAAAAGCACAAUUUUCAUGUGAUUACAAUGAUCACCUUGCUCUUGUCCGGGCUUAUGAGGGCUGGAAAGAAGCUGAAAGAGACGUAGCUAGAUAUGAAUACUGCUAGAAGAAUUUUCUUUCUGCUCAAUCAAUGAAAGCUAUUGAUGCUCUGGAAAAGGAGUUCUACUCUGCACUUGGGAAAUAUGUUUUAAAUUUUAAUGCUAGAUGGAUGUGAAUUGGAUGAUUAUAUAGAUUACAAGUGGAUUUUUAAUUGAAGGAAUAUGUAGUUUGGAAUUACUUGUGGAAGAAAAUUUGUAAUAGUUGCUAACUUUAAUUAAACAAGUUCAGAAUUUAAUGAUUUAUAUAUUUUGUUAAAUGUUCAUGAUU